rnacentral:rRNA from 1 species
AUACGGAGGGUGCAAGCGUUACUCGGAAUCACUGGGCGUAAAGCGCGCGCAGGCGGGCUGAUAAGUUGGAUGUGAAAGCCUACGGCUCAACCGUAGAACUGCAUCCAAAACUGUCAGUCUAGAGUGUGCGAGAGGAAGAUGGAAUUAGUUGUGUAGGGGUAAAAUCCGUAGAGAUAACUAGGAAUACCAAAAGCGAAGGCAAUCUUCUGGAACACUACUGACGCUGAGGCGCGAAGGCGUGGGGAGCAAACAGGAUUAGAAACCCUAGUAGUCC